UACAGAGGUCUCAAGCGUUUGUUCGGAUUCAUUGGGCGUAAAGGGUGCGUAGGUGGCGCCGUAAGUCGGGUGUGAAAUUUCGGAGCUUAACUCCGAAACUGCAUUCGAUACUGCGGUGCUUGAGGACUGGAGAGGAGACUGGAAUUCAUGGUGUAGCAGUGAAAUGCGUAGAGAUCAUGAGGAAGACCAGUGGCGAAGGCGGGUCUCUGGACAGUUCCUGACGCUGAGGCACGAAGGUCCAGGGGAGCAAACGGG
rnacentral:rRNA from 1 species